rnacentral:rRNA from 1 species
UACGAAGGGGGCUAGCGUUGCUCGGAAUCACUGGGCGUAAAGCGCACGUAGGCGGAUUGUUAAGUCAGGGGUGAAAUCCUGGAGCUCAACUCCAGAACUGCCUUUGAUACUGGCGAUCUUGAGUCCGGGAGAGGUGAGUGGAACUCCGAGUGUAGAGGUGAAAUUCGUAGAUAUUCGCAAGAACACCAGUGGCGAAGGCGGCUUACUGGACCGGUUCUGACGCUGAGGCGCGAAAGCGUGGGGAGCAAACAAG